rnacentral:tRNA from 1 species
GAAGUAUGUAAAAACAAACUGAAGCUUCUAACUUCAAGUUUAAGCGAUGUAAUUUCGUUUAUACUUCU